CCUACGGGGGGCUGCAGUAGGGAAUAUUGCUCAAUGGGGGAAACCCUGAAGCAGCAACGCCGCGUGGAGGAUGAAGGUUUUCGGAUUGUAAACUCCUUUUGUUAGAGAAGAUAAUGACGGUAUCUAACGAAUAAGCACCGGCUAACUCCGUGCCAGCAGCCGCGGUAAUACGGGGGGUGCAAGCGUUACUCGGAAUCACUGGGCGGAAAGAGCGCGUAGGCGGGAUAGCAAGUCAGAUGUGAAAUCCUAUGGCUUAACCAUAGAGCUGCAUUUGAAACUGUUAUUCUAGAGUAUGGGAGAGGUAGGUGGAAUUCUUGGUGUAGGGGUAAAAUCCGUAGAGAUCAAGAGGAAUACUCAUUGCGAAGGCGACCUGCUAGAACAUAACUGACGCUGAUGCGCGAAAGCGUGGGGAGCAAACAGGAUUAGAUACCCCAGUAGUC
rnacentral:rRNA from 1 species